UAUCACAGUAACCCUCGAUUUGCAACGAGUACGCGGGAAAGUAGAGCACCAACCAUUGAAAAGGGAAUCGAUUCGAGGGUGGUAGCGUUAAUCGAAUAUAGUUUUUUUUUUCUAGAUCGAGCCAGGAUCAUCUUCUCCCAACGAGGGAAAUCGAAGGGUGCGACGUGUUGAUCCGAUUUUGAUGGAUGAUUUUUUCGUUUCGAUAGUCUGGGGCGUUCAGCCCACAUCAUCAGUUGUCGAAAGCGAGGAUAAAAGAGUCAUCUCGCGGAACCAUCAAUUUUCCCAUCCAGAAACAGCUGUACUUUGAGUGAAUUUUCCAAAGGACCAUUCUUCAAAAAUCCCUGGCACCGAGUACGCCAGUUAUUCCCAAGGAAUCUACUGCGAAGUAUUCCUCUGAUAAACAGGCCGCUACACCUUAUGAAUGCUUGAUGAUGGCGUUUCAUGAGGCGUCUCACCCUCUGCGUUCGAGCUCAAGGGCGAAUCUUCGUCCUCGUUCCUUCUCUGACUUUCUCCUUUCCUCCCUUUGGUAUUCCUCGAAGGCAUCCCACAACGUUUUCCGCCGCUUUCAACCCCGCGUUACCUUCUCCGUCCCCAUCCUCGGGGAUCUGCCAGGACCAAUCGUCGUUCAGCGCUGAAACGAGGUGUGAUAAGCGAGAAAGGUCAGAGCCAUCAUGGCCCCCGGCGGCUGUUCUUUUCACCUGACGCUCCUUUCAAGAUUUCACGCCUCGACGAAUUCUCCUGUGAGUUUCAAGGAACCUGCGAACCUGUCUAGAUACGCGAUUACAAGCCCGAUUAACACCUUCGCUCCUACACCGAUGUCUGCGACAAUUUCCACGGGGCUUUCGUUUCUGUGCAAUUUGGAAGGUAAACAGCAAAUCCGAGCAAAUUAAUAUUUAAUAUGGAAACUCGCCUACAUUUUAUUCCUUAUCCAACAUUUUUAUUUAGAUAUGUAUUAGAUGUAGAAAUUAAUUCCGUGCCUUUCUAAAUUAACCUUACCGUGUAUUUGCAAAGAGAAACCAUGCAAAC